CUGGAAACCGGAGCUAAUACCGGAUAAUAUAUUGAACCGCAUGGUUCAAUAGUGAAAGACGGUUUUGCUGUCACUUAUAGAUGGAUCCGCGUCGCAUUAGCUAGUUGGUAAGGUAACGGCUUACCAAGGCAACGAUGCGUAGCCGACCUGAGAGGGUGAUCGGCCACACUGGAACUGAGACACGGUCCAG
rnacentral:rRNA from 1 species